GUCAGGAUGGCCGAGUGGUCUAAGGCGCCAGACUCAAGUUCUGGUCUCCAAAGGGAGGCGUGGGUUCAAAUCCCACUUCUGACA
rnacentral:tRNA from 1 species